ensembl:lncRNA
CCACUGGGUCUAUGCCAUUCACAGAUAUGACCCACUUUCAGGCAUAGCAUCCUAUUUCUAUCUCCCAUUCACUGCACCUUUAACCAUGGACCCUACUGAUCAUGUUAUGUGUUUUUUUUCAUGGUUCAUUCAACAAUUAGUGACUGGCUACUAUGUAUGAGGCACUAUGCUAUGGGCUGGAGCAUGAAGAUGGUACUAUUUUUACCCAAAGCCCUGUGUAAUAUGUGACACUAAAGAGUUGCUGAGUGGGGAUGAACAGAAAGGAAAGAGGGGACAGGGUGAGAAAGGAUGGAGAGCAAGGAAGGGAUAGUCCCCGUUCUUGAGAAGUUUCUAGCCUAGUAGAGUUCUCCUAGCUAGUGAAAGAUAUAAAAAAGAUAAGAAAUUUAGGUCAUCCUGGACUCCCAGUUUGGUCAUAUAGCAACAGACCCUGUGAAUCUUUUUAAACAGCUCCUGUUCACGCUCAUUUUACUAAAUUGCAUUUUCCUAAAGAAAUCCCUUCCCGUGGUCUAUGAUCAUUAGAUUGAGAGUAGCUCUCAUUUUCCUUACUUUCAAGGUUUCUGUUUAAUGCUCCCCCACCCCCUUUUGACUGUCUGCUUCUGCAGGUGGACUCCAACUUCCCUGAGACUGACUGGCUCACUCCAUUAAGUAAUUUGUGGAUCCGCCAGAUAAUAUCAAAUUGAUUUCUGCCAAAUAUCUCCCUUAUAUUUCAGUCAUCAAAAAUACAAAUAUCUGAAGGCUGAGUUUUGCUUAGACCAGCAGUUCUCAAAGCAUAGUCCUGGGACAAGCAUCUUUUUUUUUUUUUCUUUUUUUUUUAAUUUUAAUUUUAAAAAUUGUAGUUGAUUUACAAUAUCCUGUCAAUUUUUGCUUACAGCAAAGUGACCCGGUUACACAUAUAUAUAUUUUCUUAUUCUCCAUUAUGUUCCAUCACAAGCGAUUGGAUAUAGUUCCCUAUACUAUACAGCAGGACCUCAUUGCUUGUCCACUCCAAAUGCAAUAGUUUACAUCUACUAACCCCAAUCCAUCCCACUCCCUCCCCCUACCCUUUGGCAAUCACAAGUCUGUUCUCAAUCUCCAUGCGUUUGUUUCUUUUCUGUAGAUAGGCCAAGCAUUUUACUGUUAUGAACACCUGGGACCAUGUCAGACAUGCAAACACACAGGACUAAACCCAUAUUUUCUGAAUUUGAAUCUCUGGGGGGCAAUAUGUUUUUUAACCAGUCCUCUAAGUGAUUCUAAUGCAGGCUCGAGUUUGAGACUCACUGGCUUAGACUAACGCCCCUGGUUCCCUUCCCAGGACAUGACUGGUUUUACAUUUCCACACCACACAAGAACCAGCCCUCUGCUUCCUUUUGUUUCUGGGAGGGUCAUCCCUUUUUUGGCUGAUUCUAGAGUCAGGUGAAUAGCAAGGGCCUUCGGAACCCCUCACUGACUGAGGUCCAUUAACUACAUAGUUGCCGUCUAUUUACCUCUAAGUGGCACUGAUUUUCUCAACAUUUAAUUUGUAAAUCUGGAAAAUUCAUAGAUGUCUGAAGAUGACAAUCAAAACUGAACUGUAAUCUCACUGUUUAAUCAUAACCACUGGAUGACUUUCAUUUUUACUAGAAAGUUUUAAAAGCACACAUUAAAAAAAAAAGAGUUGAAUAUAAUAAACAAUGAACAGCCACUCCAAAUUUACAAUGUCAGCAUUUUGUCACUUUUGCUUAUUUUACAAAAGAAAAUACAUAGAAAACAUUACAAUGAGAUUAAGUACUACCCCUCAUCCCCACCCCAUUUCUAUUUUUGGUCCUAUUUCCCCUCCCCUCUGGCCUAAAGGUAACCAAUAUCCUUAUUCUGGUCUAUAUCCUUCCAGACUAUGUUUUUAUAUGCUUAUUCCCUAUGUAUAUAUGUCAACAAUAUUUGGCAUUGUUAGAUUUUAGAAUUUUAACAUAAAUACAUAUAUAUCACUCUGCAUUUUGCUUUUUAAAAUUCAAUAUUGUUUUGAGGGCUAUCUUUGGAGACAGAUCUGUCUCAGCAGAGAUAUACAGAUCUGUGAAGAUACAGAGAUCUAUAUAGAGAUCUGCAGAUCUCUAGAUUUACAGAUACUAACAUUUGAAUCCUAUUCUAUCAUAUGACUAUUCAUCUUUUGGUACAUAAAUCACAUGAAUGUUGAGUUGCAGGGUUUGCACAUUUAACUUUAUAGGCAUUGCCAAAUUGCUCUCCAAAGUAGCAAUACUCAUUCCGAUUUUUUCCUAUGUAUAAAAGUGCCAUUUUUUUCCUUUAAAUAUUAUUUUUAUUUGAUUUUAUAUUAUUAUAAUUAUUAUUUUAUCUUUUUAGGGCUGCACCCAUGGCACACGGAAGUUCCCAGGCUAGGGGUUGAAUUGGAGCUAUAGCUGCUGGCCUACUCCACAGCCACAGCAAUGCCAGAUCUGAGCUGCGUCUGAGACCUACACCACAGCUCACGGCAACGCCAGAUCCUUAACCCACUGAUGAGGCCAGGGAUGGAAUCUGCGUUCUCACGGAAGCUAGUCAGAUUCACCUCCACUGAGCUACGAUGGGUACUCUUUAUUCCUUUAUAUAUUGAAUUAGCACUGCUUUGUGCUCUAUUUGAAAGUUGAUCAUUUUACUACAGCAUUAAAUAUUUUUCCAAAAUAUGACUUUUAAUUGCUUAGACUUUUCUUAGAUAGAGCUCUCUAAUUUACUUAACAUCCCUUUUGUGGACAUAGAUUUUUCUCGUCAAUUUUUUCAACUGCAAAUAAAUCUGAGAUAAGUAUCUCUAUACAUAACUCUAUGGUCAUUUUGAUAAUUCACUUAGAAGCAUUUGCUAAAAUAGGAGUUCCCAUCGUGGCUCAUUGGUAAUGAACCCAACUAGUAUCCAUGAGCAUCCAGGUUUGAUCCCUGGCCUUGCUCAGUAUGUCCAGGAUUGGGCAUGAGCUGUGGUGUAGGUUGCAAAAAUGGCUUAGAUCCCACGUUGCUGUGGCUGUGGCGUAGGCCAGCGGCUAUAGCUCCAAUUUGACCCCUAGCCUGAGAACUUCCAUAUGCUGCAGGUGCAGCCAUAAAAAAAGAAAAAAAAAAAAA